rnacentral:rRNA from 1 species
AUUGAACGCUGGCGGCAGGCCUAACACAUGCAAGUCGAACGAGUGGCGGACGGGUGAGUCAUGUCUGGGAAACUGCCUGAUGGAGGGGGAUAACUACUGGAAACGGUAGCUAAUACCGCAUACCAUCGGAUGUGCCCAGAUGGGAUUAGCGAGUAGGUGGGGUAACGGCUCACCUAGGCGACGAUCCCUAGAUGGUCGGAGAGGAUGACAAGCCACACUGGAACUGGUACACGGUCCAGACGCCUACGGGAGGCAGCAGUGGGGAAUAUUGCACAAUGGGCGCAAGCCUGAUGCAGCCAGGCCGCGUGUAUGAAGAAGUCCUUCGGGUUGUAAAGUACUUUCAGCGGGGAGGCGUUACCCGCAGAAGAAGCACCGGCUAACUCCGUGCCAGCAGCCGCGGUAAUUC